CUACGGGCGGCUGCAGUGAGGAAUAUUGCGCAAUGGGGGAAACCCUGACGCAGCGACGCCGCGUGGAUGAUGAGGGCCUUAGGGUCGUAAAAUCCUGUCAGGUGGGAAGAAGUGGAUAUAGAUUAAUACUCUAUUUCUUUGACGGUACCACCAAAGGAAGCACCGGCUAACUCCGUGCCAGCAGCCGCGGUAAUACGGAGGGUGCAAACGUUGUUCGGAAUUACUGGGCGUAAAGCGCGCGUAGGCGGUUUGUUAAGUCAGAUGUGAGAGUCCAUGGCUCAACGAUGGAAGUGCAUUUGAAACUGGCAGACUUGAGUACGGGAGGGGGUGAUGGAAUUCCCGGUGUAGAGGUGAUAUUGGUAGAUAUCGGGAGGAAUACCGGUGGCGAAGGCGAUCACCUGGCCAGAUACUGACGCUGAGGUGCGAAAGCGUGGGGAGCAAACAGGAUUAGAUACCCGGGUAGUC
rnacentral:rRNA from 1 species